UCAGUUCGGAUUGGAGUCUGCAACCCGACUCCAUGAAGCUGGAUUCGCUAGUAANCGUUCGCAUCAGCCACGGCGCGGUGAAUACGUUCCCGGGCCUUGUACACACCGCCCGUCAAGCCAUGGAAGCCGGGAGUGCCUGAAGUGCGUGACCGCAAGGAGCGUCCUAAGGCAAUACCGGUGACUGGGGCUAAGUCGUAACAAGGUACC
rnacentral:rRNA from 1 species